AUGAGGGCCCCAACUCAACUCCUGGGGUUACUGCUGCUCUGGCUUACAGGUGCAAAAUGUGACAUCCAGAUGACCCAGUCUCCAGCCUCCCUGUUUCCAUGCCUGGGAGACAGUGUCACCAUCACAUGCAGGGCAAGUCAGAAUAUUUAUAGUGUUUUGGCAUGGUAUCAGCAGAAACCAGGGAACCCUCCUAAGCUCCUGAUCUAUGGUGCUAACGGUUUGGCAGAUGGGGUCCCAUCAAGGUUCAGUAGCAGUGGAUCUGGGACACAGUUUUCUCUCAAGAUCAGUGGCCUGAAGUCUGAAGAUGUUGCAACUUAUUACUGUCAACAGCAUAGGAGUUACCCACCCACAGUGAUUCAAGUCAUGACAAAAAUCACCCAGAAAAACAGAAGUGAGAGCCCAGGCUUACCAAUGUGUUCCUUCUUGUUUCUGCAGCUGUUGAUUCUGUUUAUUAAGUUUUUAAGAUCAAUGUGA